GUAGUCGGAUUUAUAUCAAUCCACAUGUGUUGAGGUGGGUUGGAGUGGAACUUGAACUAAAUUCUACCUCAAUCCACUCCAACACAUGUGGAUUGAGGUCAAUCCGACA
rfam:Sorghum bicolor cultivar BTx623 chromosome 8, whole genome shotgun sequence.